GAAACUGGCAGACUUGAGUUGGCGAGAAGUACGCGGAAUGCGCGGUGUAGCGGUGAAAUGCAUAGAUAUCGCGCAGAACUCCGAUUGCGAAGGCAGCGUACCGGCGCCAGACUGACGCUGAGGCACGAAAGCGUGGGGAUCGAACAGGAUUAGAUACCCUGGUAGUCCACGCAGUAAACGAUGAAUGCUGGUUGUCCGGGUCGAAUGAGACCUGGGCGGCGAAGCGAAAGCGAUAAGCAUUCCACCUGGGGAGUACGCCGGCAACGGUGAAACUCAAAGGAAUUGACGGGGGCCCGCACAAGCGGAGGAACAUGUGGUUUAAUUCGAUGAUACGCGAGGAACCUUACCCGGGCUCAAACGGGAGUGGAAUGGACCAGAGACGGUUCAGCCUACGGGCCGCUUCCGAGGUGCUGCAUGGUUGUCGUCAGCUCGUGCCGUGAGGUGUCGGCUUAAGUGCCAUAACGAGCGCAACCCCCGCCGGCAGUUGCUAACGGGCAAUGCCGAGGACUCUGCCGGGACUGCCGCCGCAAGGCGUGAGGAAGGCGGGGAUGACGUCAAAUCAGCACGGCCCUUACGUCCGGGGCGACACACGUGUUACAAUGGGCGGUACAGCGGGAAGCCAGGCGGCGACGCCGAGCGGAACCCGAAAGCCGUUCUCAGUUCGGAUCGGAGUCUGCAACCCGACUCCGUGAAGCUGGAUUCGCUAGUAAUCGCGCAUCAGCCAUGGCGCGGUGAAUACGUUCCCGGGCCUUGCACACACCGCCCGUCAAG
rnacentral:rRNA from 1 species